UACAGAGGGUGCAAGCGUUAAUCGGAAUUACUGGGCGUAAAGCGUGCGUAGACGGUUAUGUAAGUCAGAUGUGAAAGCCCCGGGCUUAACCUGGGAAUGGCAUUUGAGACCGCAUAGCUAGGGUGCGGAAGAGGGAAGCGGAAUUUCCGGUGUAGCGGUGAAAUGCGUAGAUAUCGGGAGGAACACCGGUGGCGAAGGCGGGUCUCUGGGCCGAUACUGACGCUGAGGAGCGAAAGCGUGGGGAGCGAACAGG
rnacentral:rRNA from 1 species